UCUGGUUAGGACCCAGCAACUUUCCCAUUGAAACAAGGGCUAAGGAGCCCUCCUCUGGCCUGCCUUUGAGUUCCCCAGAUGGGGGUGAGGGUCCAGGACCAGCCCCAACAUUGGGGUUCCCCUGGCAUCCUGUUGGGAGGGUGAGGCUCCAACAGGCCUCCUCCCCAGCAUUUUCCCAGCCCCAGGCCGCUGACUCACAUCCAAGCCCAGGGCCCCUUACUGACUGGACUGGUUUGCCUGGCUCAGCCCAGCCCAGUGCACACCCCCUUGCCCAGAAGCCUUCAGAGCAGAUGGAGAGCACUUGCCCUGGGAAUGCUGCACUGGACAGACCCAGGAGGGACAGGAGAACCAAAGUCCACUGGUCUGGGUGGGGUCAGGUGGGCAGGAUGGGGCAGGGGGAGCCAGUAUAGCCCUCCUACCUGGGACCACAACAUGCCCACCCCUGGGUUCACAGGGCCUGAGCUCUGGGUCCCAAGUACAGGGGCAGUUCCGCUGCCAGACCCUCAGGGUCACCAGGGGCAGGGUGGUAUUUGCUGCUGGAGGACGCUGCCUGGCUACUCAUUAAAGUUGUCCCAUGGCACUGCAAGGAGGCUGCAUAUGGGAGCUCCCCAAUGCUGUCUCACAAAUGUCCUAUAAUUCCUCCUGAGGUUGAGGUGAGGGUGUUUCACACCCUUACCGCUCUGACUGCAGCUUUCCUCAGGGAAGCCUGGAGGGAACCGUCAGCUGCAGAGGAAGACUGGCCAGCAGGCAAGGGGCCCUGCGACCCCUAAGUGUCCAGAAGGUCCUGCAGCUGGAACUUUGUCAAGCAGCAAUGGAGGUCGGUUGGGCUUCGCCAUGGGGCCACACUGGCGUAGCUGGGCCCCAGCAGCUGUAAGGAUGGUGGUUUGGAGCAACACCUGGCAAGGAAGGAGCUGGCUCGCCAGGUAUACCUGGAGCAGAUGGAGAAGCUGCAGAGGGAGGUAUGGCCUCGGGGCACCAGGAGCAGGAAGCGGCCCGGCGGCGGCGGCGCGAGAAGGAGGAGGCGGCGAGGCGUGAGCGGCUGGAGGAACUGCAGCGCCGCCGCCGCCUCCUGGACGCCGCCUUCGACGCGUAUUUGGGCGAGAUCCGGGCGGUCCUGAACGAGGUCAGCGCCGCAGGG
rnacentral:lncRNA from 1 species